AGCUAUGAGGUGAAUAAAAAUGUUUGAUACGGCAGGGCUAGUGAAAAAUUUGACAGCAAGCAUUAUCAAGAAGAAGAACGAACAACGCACGUAUACACAUAAAUUAAAGAAAACAAAAGCGAGUGGAAAUAAAAGAACAUGGUCCCGCUGGCAAAAAAAAAAAUAAAGAAAAGCUAUAUAACUUGGAGCAGUUCAGAACGCAGAAUCCUUCUGGAAAAGCGCAUUGACAAGGAUGUUUGGUUCA